CAGAAAGAAGCCUCCGGGACAUGAGAGGAUUGUGAGCAAAGAGAGGCCUCCUGGCUCAGGUGUGACCUGUACAAGCAGUGAAGAGGGGGUGAAGUUAUGUGCCAACCUGAGAAGCACGUAACUCACGGUGUCAGAGGACAGCUGAGAAAGGAAAAGGGAUCUACAUUGUAAAGCCAGAUAUGGUGAAACAUGCCUGUAAAGCCGGCCCUCAGAAGAGCAAGGCAGGAGGAUCGCCCUUGAGUUUGAGGCCAGCCUGGGCUACAAAGUGUGCAGUUAAGGUGAUGAAGAUGACGACAGCUGUUUAUGCUGUAAUGAAAGACACGGACCUAGACAAGAAUUACUCUUCUGUGGGAAAAUGGAGCCCCUGGCACCAGGACUGGAAAGCCUCGUGGGUCCAGAAACUCCUGGAAGAGAAGUGUGCUUGAAGAGAGAUCCUGCUGAAGAUGGAAGCCACAGAGUGGGUGUUGUGUGUUCUCUGAUGAACCCUCAGCUCCAGUGAACACAUGGAAAGUUCCCCAACAUGCCAUCUCUCUGGGUAAAUUGUAUUGUAUCACGUUUUUUCUAAUGUUCUUUGUAUGGCACAUAAUUUUCACACAUUAGGUUAAAAUGUCCCCAGCACUUUUUCCUUCUUAAAAUCUAUACAACACUUUUCCCACUUUGAUGCUGUUCUAGUUUGCUGAGAUAAACAUGACCAAAACCAAUUUAGAAAGGAAAGGGUUUAUUUCAGCUUACACUUCCAGGUCUCAGUCCAGCAUUAAGGAAAGUCAUGGCAGGAACUGAAGCAGAAAAGAUAAACAAAAGCUGCUUCUGGCUUCUCCCUGGUCCAUGCUCACCUAGUUUUCUUAUACAGCUGGGGAGCACCUACCUACCCAGAGAUGGUGCUGUGCACAGUGGGCUGGGCCCUAUAUCAAUUAGCAAUCAAGAAAAUUCCCCCAGAGACAUGCCCACAGGCCAAUCUGAUGGAGGGAAUUCUUCAGUUGAGGUUCUCUGUUCCAAGGUGAAUUCUAGAUUGUGUCAAGUUGACAAUAAAAAGCUAACCAGGACACUAUCACUUAUACAAUAAACACUAGCCAGCAUAGCUAUUCAAGCCUCAUGGUUAUAGCUUCCCUAUUCCAUAUUCACCACUUAGACACAGUUCCCUGUUGCAGUAAAACUCCACAUUGUCAUAGGCCUCUGAUGGGAUAAUCUGAAAGACUAACCUAGGCGUGCAGGUUCUUUCCUGCAUUGAAACGACUCUCUUAAGAGGCUCAGAAGUGGAAUUGCAAGGCCCAUACUAUAAACAUUUUCCAAAUAUGUUGCCACAUUGCUUGCCAGCUAGGGUAUAGUUGUGUUUAGUGCCCGUAAGUUUCUAGGAGAAUAGGAGUUAAGAAGCCAGGAAAGCCAUCUUAGCCCCAGUAGCUAUAACAAAGUACCAUAGAUUGGAUGGCUUUAAAAAACCCAGAAAUUUACUUUAUAUAUUCCUGAAGGCUGGAAGUCUUUGUGUGUACAUGUGUGUGCAUGCCAGUGUUUAGUCUGGAGAUCAACUCAGCUGUCCUUUCGCAGAUACCAUCCACUUUGUUCUUGUUUAUUACAACAGGAUUCUCUCACUAUUCUGGGGCUUGCAGAUUAGGCUAAACUGGCUGGCCAGUAAGCCCCCAGGAGACACCUGUCUCCACCUCCCAGCACACUGGGAUUGCAAGCCUGUACCACCGUAUGUGUGUGAGUGUGUGUGUGUGUGUGUCCGUGUGUCCUCUGCUUCUGGAAUGUUGGGAUUAAAGGCAUGCACCCUUAUGUCUGGCUUUAUACCCAGAUUUUCUUUUAUGUGGGUUUUGGGGAACUGAACUCAGGCUCUGGGGAUUGAACUGAAGGAUUUUACUCACUGAGCUCUCUAGUCCCUGGAAGUCUUUAGUGAAGGUGCUAACAUGGCUGUGCCCUGUUAAGGAUUCUUUGGCUUGCAGAUCACCACCUCCUUGCUGCCUUCACAUGGCUUUUUCCUGGUGUAUGCAUCCAUAGAAAGAAUGAGCUCUCGGAUAAGGGCAUUGAGGACCACACUUCAUCUCAGGUACCUUCCUCAAGUGACCUCAUUCAACUUUAAGUGCUUCCCAAAAGGCCUGCAUCCAAAUACAGUCGCACUGAGGGUUAGUUGGAGCUUCCAUGUGUAAAUCUGGAGAGGGACAACAUCCAGGCAACCAUUAUUGACUGUCCACUAAGGAAUCUCUGGGACCAUCUGAGCCCAGAUCUGUCCAAGGAUUCACACACGCCCCUGCUCUGCAGAGAAGCCUGUGCAAUGCUUGCAGAGGGACCAAAGCUCUGCACCUUCACAGAGAUGGGGGAAAGUUUAAGACGAUGCUGGAGACACUGUUGAGACCAGGUGACUGAUUCAACCCUGUCAUUUUGCAGUCUGAGUGCCACUGUGAGCUUCACUAAGGUACAUCAGAAAUGAGGCAAUUACCCAUCACUCAGGUUCCUGCCCUCUCUGAUCUAUUUGGCUCAUAGAUGGACCUGAGCCACCAUUAGGAUCUGGAAUAACAAAGACGGGGUGUUUGCUUUGGAGACUCUGUCUCAUGACAGUGUGACUGGCCUACUGAUGUCUCUAGUACCCAGAAGACAGGUGACACAAAGAUGGAGGCAGAGUCCAGAGGAGCCGGCUCCAUAAAGCCGGUUCACUUUGCAUCAUUAGUUCCACUCCCCCCAACUCCCCCCAUCACAGUGAACCGUCUGUCUAUUUCCGUCACGGGGACUUUACUUCAAGUUAAAAUACAGUGUGCUUGUCUCUGGGCCCUCUCCCACAUCUUGUUCUGCGUAGCCCUGUUCAG
ensembl:lncRNA